rnacentral:lncRNA from 1 species
GGGGAUUUUGGGUAUUGAGACCCUUGAUUCCGGGUAUACUCGAGUAUUAUCAUUUUGUUCGUUUUAGGUGAGCGGGCCCGGUAAAGGGGUGUUUGGUGGACGGAAUUCGGUGAUAAGAGGGGUCUACGGACGCAUUGGUUCUAUAUACGUUGACGGAGAGUCAACCGGUUUGGAUCAAGUAUUGCGCUGGAAAUUUGGCUCCUGAGAGCCACCCAUAUCCUUCUGAUUUGAAUCAUUGGUUCCUUUGCUUUACAUCUGACAUGUGUAUCUGAUUUGUUAAAUGUGAAAUGCCAUGAUUUUAAUGCUAUCUGUUUGGUACCUCAUUGAGCGCAAGCUCACCCCUUUCCGUUCCUUUU